GCCCCGGGCACCCCGUCCGGGGUCACCGCCAUCGCGGCCGCCGAACCGCACGGAGCAGACCCGGGCCGCCCCUCACGGGGUGGAGUUUGGGGUGGAAAUCCCAGAUCUUGGUGCAGAAGCCUGAGGAGACCCCCGGGAACGUUUCUUUUGAGGCAAAUUUUUCCCAAAUUCAGGUAACACCAGAGGAACAACCAGAGCCGGUCCCAGGUCUCAGGAAAAUAAAACAAAAACAAAACCUCACAUCCAACUACACAAAACUCAACCGGCUGUUUUUGUUGCUGUUUUUUUUUCCUUUUUUUUUUAUUUUUUAUUUUUU